AUUGAACGCUGGCGGCAUGCCUUACACAUGCAAGUCGAACGGCAGCACGGACUUCGGUCUGGUGGCGAGUGGCGAACGGGUGAGUAAUAUAUCGGAACAUACCUUGUAGUGGGGGAUAACUAUCCGAAAGGAUAGCUAAUACCGCAUACGAUCUAAGGAUGAAAGCGGGGGAUCUUCGGACCUCGUGCUAUAAGAGUGGCCGAUAUCUGAUUAGCUAGUUGGUGGGGUAAAGGCCUACCAAGGCGACGAUCUGUAGCGGGUCUGAGGGGAUGAUCCGCCACACUGGGACUGGAACACGGCCCAGACUCCUACGGGAGGCAGCAGUGGGGAAUAUUGGACAAUGGGGGGAACCCUGAUCCAGCCAUGCCGCGUGUGUGAAGAAGGCCUUAUGGUUGUAAAGCACUUUAAGCGAGGAGGAGGCUACUGAGACUAAUACUCUUGGAUAGUGGACGUUACUCGCAGAAUAAGCACCGGCUAACUCUGUGCCAGCCGCCGCCGUAAGAC
rnacentral:rRNA from 1 species